rnacentral:rRNA from 1 species
UUUGAUGUACUAAGGGGGAUCCCUAUCCGGUCCAAAACCAGGGAUUCCGGUCUAGUGUAAGACCUGCCGGAGAGCACGCCCGCGGAUCAUGGGUGUUUAUAACCCACCCCUUGCCGGAAAGUACCGAAAAUUUCGAUUGGGCAACCCAGGGGGAGGGCCCGGGGGGGACUUUCUGCCCCCCCACCGGAAAAAAAUCCCCCCUCUCUUUUGGGGGGGGGAAAAUGGUGUACACCCCAGCACACGUUUCCGGCCCUAAAAAGGGGUUGGGGGCCAACUGAAUUUUAAAAAUUGGUGGGUUACGGGGUUUUCAAAUUCCACCCCAGGUUGCAAUUCUGGUAGUAAAAAAAGCGUACAAGGUUUCCGUAGGGUGAACCUGCGGAAGGAUCAUUG